ACUUAAAUUGAAGAGUUUGAUCAUGGCUCAGAUUGAACGCUGGCGGCAGGCCUAACACAUGCAAGUCGAACGGUAGCACAGAGGAGCUUGCUCCUUGGGUGACGAGUGGCGGACGGGUGAGUAAUGUCUGGGAAACUGCCCGAUGGAGGGGGAUAACUACUGGAAACGGUAGCUAAUACCGCAUAACGUCGCAAGACCAAAGAGGGGGACCUUCGGGCCUCUUGCCAUCGGAUGUGCCCAGAUGGGAUUAGCUAGUAGGUGGGGUAACGGCUCACCUAGGCGACGAUGCCUAGCUGGUCUGAGAGGAUGACCAGCCACACUGGAACUGAGACACG
rnacentral:rRNA from 1 species